UUGCUUAUUUGAUUUAUACUUUUUUUUUUGUUUCAUAUCAUUUUUUUUAUGCUGUAGCCAAUCGUGUUCAUUUAUAUCUAAUUCGUUUUUAUCUUGUAAUACUAAUACUGUUCACUGAAGCUCUUAACGCUAUAAUUAAUUUUAAAACUAAUGUCCAUAAGCGUCUUAGUUACUAUCUAGUCCUCUCCUCUCUUUCAAUUUUCACUUAUGACGACGUCUUAAAGAUUAUUAACAAAACUUAUUUAUUACAUUUGCCGCCCUCAAAAUAUGAACUUGUAUCCACCUUUUUUUUUUUUUUUUUUUUUUGUUUAUUUAAUGUCUUUAAUUUAUUGCUUACAUUUAACUUCAUCAAGUAGUCAUAACAUAGGCAAUAUCGCAUCGUGUAUUUACCUUUGAUUUGUAACCAAAAAGAACAAAAAUACUCCAAGGAUAUUUUUUACUAGGACAAUAUAAUUUAAUACUAUUGAAAGGUGACCAUAAAAUAUAUAGGGUCUGCCGCAUGUAUCUGUGUAUACUCUGCUUUUCAUUUUUAAUUUUAAUGCUUAACUUAAAAACCAAUUAUUUACUUUGAUUAUACAUCACUGUUAUAGCUAAAGUUUAACUGUUCAAAUUAGCCUGCCUGCCAGUCUGUUAGCUUUUAUUUGAGAUUUUUCGUAUAGUAAAUGCCAAUAACAGUUAAUAGUAUCUGAGCAAUACCGAAAUUGAAAUAUGAAAGACUACUCUUCCUUUCGUUUACUUUUAAAACAAUAGUAUUAUGCCAUAUAUUUGAAAAGUUAUAACUGCAUUUUUUGUUUUAUUUUAUUUUAAUUUUUUAUAUAAUUACUUUUUUACUUUAAUUUGGUUGUCAAUAUCUAUUAGUCUACAAUCUUUUCGUGACAUAUUGUAUAAAAAAAAAUCGUAUUAUAUAAUAUAACAUAAAAGCUCUCUUUCUUUCUUGAGAGUAUAAAUCGCGUAAAUUUUAGCGACUUUCAGUAUUCUGUAAUCGUCUAAACGUUAUUGACUAUUAAAUAUCAGUAGGCAAAUAAUGAACAAUCUUUGAUAAUUAUUUAAACUGUUAGUUAAGCUUUGCUCUUUUACUUUAUGGCACGUUAUAUUUGUCCUAACAAUUUUAUAACUAUUCAGAGUAAAUCGAUUUGACGAAAUUCAAGUAUUUUAGUCAAAAAAUUGUAAUGGCAUUUGCUAUUGUAUUCUUUUUCUGUUUAUUUUUCUUAAUAGAAUAUCAGAAUGCCAGGAUUUCGAUUGCUUUUGCUCAACAUCAGAACGGAUGACGUAACUAGACUUCUUUCUUGAACUUUAGGUGGUUGGUUUACGUUGUGUUUCUUUAAAUAGCUUUUUCUUUGAUUGGUAUGCCUUUUUUUAUCUUUCUCGUUUUGUAUUCUCUUUUUCUAUAUAGCCUAAUGAUGCGUCAAAUCCAAUAAAUAUAAAUGUAAGACUAUUUUUUCGUCGAUUUAUAAAAGCCUCUGAUAUACAUUAUCAUGUAUAUUCUUGACAUAAGAUAUUGCUUUUUUUUUU